AUUGAACGCUGGCGGCAUGCUCUACACAUGCAAGUCGAACGGUAACAGGCCGCAAGGUGCUGACGAGUGGCGCACGGGUGAGUAAUGCAUCGGAACGUGCCCAGUCGUGGGGGAUAACUACUCGAAAGAGUAGCUAAUACCGCAUACGAUCUAUGGAUGAAAGCGGGGGACCGUAAGGCCUCGCGCGAUUGGAGCGGCCGAUGUCAGAUUAGGUAGUUGGUGGGGUAAAGGCUCACCAAGCCAACGAUCUGUAGCUGGUCUGAGAGGACGACCAGCCACACUGGGACUGAGACACGGCCCAGACUCCCACGGGAGGCAGCAGUGGGGAAUUUUGGACAAUGGGCGCAAGCCUGAUCCAGCAAUGCCGCGUGCAGGAAGAAGGCCUUCGGGUUGUAAACUGCUUUUGUACGGAACGAAACGGCUCUGGUUAAUACCCGGGGCUAAUGACGGUACCGUAAGAAUAAGCACCGGCUAACUACGUG
rnacentral:rRNA from 1 species